UACGAAGGGGGCUAGCGUUGUUCGGAAUUACUGGGCGUAAAGCGCACGUAGGCGGAUUGUUAAGUUAGGGGUGAAAUCCCAGGGCUCAACCCUGGAACUGCCUUUAAUACUGGCAAUCUCGAGUCCGAGAGAGGUGAGUGGAAUUCCGAGUGUAGAGGUGAAAUUCGUAGAUAUUCGGAGGAACACCAGUGGCGAAGGCGGCUCACUGGCUCGGGUACUGACGCUGAGGUGCGAAAGCGUGGGGAGCAAACAGG
rnacentral:rRNA from 1 species